ACCUGGAUUUGUGGACAGGGGGUCCCAGCACACCUGAGCUCAUGGGGGAGGGUCCCAGCACACCUGGGUCUGGGCAGGGGGUCUCCGGCUCGUGGCUCUGACCCCCCCUCUAUCCUGCAGCCCCUCCCCCUCCUGCCUGGAGCCCCGCGGCCCCCCCCGAGCCCACCCCCCCCCCGGGGGCGCACCUGGAGCCCCUCGGGGUCACCGGGCUGGAGCUGCUGCCGCGGCUGCGCGGCGAGGACCUGCUGCGCAUGGGGGUGACGCUGGCCGGGCAGCAGAGCCCCCCCAAAGGGGACCCCCAGUGCUGACCCCGCCCCCAGCCACGCCCACGGCAAGAUGGCCGCCAGGGAGCGGCGCUGAGGGACGGAGCUGGGUAGGGGAGCAAGAUGGCUGCCAGGACAAGAUGGCCACCAAUCCAAGAUGGCCACCAAUCCAAGAUGGCUGCCAUACCAACAUGGCUGCCAUUCCAAUAUGGCUGCCAAUCCAAGAUGGCUGCCAUACCAACAUGGCUGCAAUUCCAAUAUGGCUGCCAAUCCAACAUGGCUGCCAUUCCAACAUGGUUGCCAAUCCAAGAUGGCUGCCAUUCCAACAUGGCUGCCAUACCAACAUGGCUGCCAUUCCAAUAUGGCUGCCAUUCCAACAUGGCUGCCAUUCCAACAUGGCUGCCAGGACAAUAAGGCCCCACCCACAAAUGAUGUGUGGGCGGGGCCUGGAUGGGGCAGAUCUCAGGGGCGUGGCCACCAACGGGAGUGGCCAAACACAAGUGGGUGUGGCCAUGUGGGCGUGGUCACCGAUGGGCGUGGCCCACACUGCUUUUAUUGUCCCCAAUUCCAGUCAUGGCCAAUAAACGUGGCUGAUGCAAA